rnacentral:rRNA from 1 species
GACGAACGCUGGCGGCGUGCUUAACACAUGCAAGUCGAACGGAAAGGCCCUGCUUUUGUGGGGUGCUCGAGUGGCGAACGGGUGAGUAACACGUGAGUAACCUGCCCUUGACUUUGGGAUAACUUCAGGAAACUGGGGCUACUACCGGAUAGGAGCUCCUGCUGCAUGGUGGGGGUUGGAACGUUUCGGCGGUUGGGGAUGGAUUCGCGGCUUAUCAGUUUGUUGGUGGGGUAGUGGCUUACCAAGGCUUUGACGGGUAGCCGGCAUGAGAGGGUGACCGGCCACAAUGGGACUGAGAUACGGCCCAGACUCCUACGUGAGGCAGUAGGCGGGAAUAUUGCACAAUGGGCGCAAGCCUGAUGCAGCAACGCCGCGGGCGGGAUGACGGCCUUCGGGUUGUAAACCGCUUUCGCCUGUUACGAAGCGUGAGUGACGGUAAUGAAUAAAGAAGCACCGGCUAACUACGUG